AUGAAAAUGAUAAGCUGGAACUGCCGGGGGCUCGGGAAUGGCCGGGCAGUUUGAUCUCUUCUCGAGUUGGGAAGAGUGGAGGAACCCGGUGUGUUGUUUUUGUGUGAGACGAGGUUGGAUGAGAAGGAACUGGACCGGUUUCGAUGGAUGCUGGGGCUUCCUAAUAUGCUGGCAUGGAAGGGGGAGGGGAGGAGUAGAGGAGUAGUUUUGUUUUGGAGAAGGGAAAUAAACGCACCGCUACAAUCACAUGGAAGGAGGCAUGUUGAUGUGGAUAUUAUAGAGGCGGAUGGUUCGGUAUGGAGAUUAACAGAAGUAUACAGAGAAUCUAAAACAGAGCGAAAGAAAGAGACGUGGAGAACUCUUAAACUACUAAAACAGCUACACCAGGAUAAUAGGCCUUGGCUCUGUCUAGGAGACUUCAACGAAAUUCUUGCGAGUCCGGAGAAGAUGGGAGGUGCAGACCGAGCCCAACAUCUUAUGAACGAAUUCAGGGAAGCAUUAGACUUUUGUGAGCUUCAUGAUUUGGGCUACGAAGGUGACAUUUUUACGUGGAGGAACCAUAGCAAAGAGUUGAGUACCUACAUCAGCGAGUGA
rnacentral:rRNA from 1 species